GCCUUUUUAAAAAGGUGUUCCUGCCCAUUGAUUUAUAAUUAAAAAAUAAAAUUAUUUUUAAAUAAAUUUAAAGGACGCGGUAUCUUGACCGUGAUAAUGUAGCAUAAUCAUUCGCCAUUUAAUUGAUGGAUAGUAUGAAUGGUAUAACGAAUACAACACUGUCUCAAAUAGAAAUCUUAUAAAAUUAGAAUAAUAGUAAAGAUACUAUUUUAAACUGUAAGACGAGAAGACCCUAUAGAGCUUAACUAUAACUCUAUUUAAAAAAAUAAAUUCAUUUAUUUAAAUGUAGAGAUAGGUAGUUUAGUUGGGGCGACUGCUUUCUAUAUUAAACGAAAGUAAACAAAAUUAAUUAUAUAAUUUACUGUAUAAUUUAUAUAUUUAACAGUUAUAAAAAUAGGUAAUAAUGACCCGUUAUUAAUUCAUAAUAAUAAUAACGAUCAAUAAAUAAAAGCUACCUUAGGGAUAACAGAUAAUUUGUUUAAGAUCGUAUCGAAACAAAGUUGCACCUCGAUGUGAAUUAU
rnacentral:rRNA from 1 species